CGAUUUCCUUUUGUCAAAAGGCGUCGCCAAAUAGGCGCGUGAAUUUGCGACCUUAGUCGUUGAGCGCUGAAACAGCUAUAUUUGGAGCGGUCGAAACUCGCGCUGCCGAGGUCUCCGCGGCGAAGCCGCGCGCGAGGGGCCGCGCCCACGCUCUCGACUGGUGCCGCCACGGAGUGUCAACCAUUUCUGGGUCAGACAUGGCCCUGCUGACAGCUUUGUGGCCGGAAUGGUUUAUCCUGGCGGCGACGACCAGUGUUGUUCUGUACCUAUAUGUUACACGGAAUCGGAACUACUGGAAGAACCAAAAUGUGCCGUCGGAGCCAUUCUCGCUCAUAUUCGGUGCCACGUUAAGGCUUUUCUCGAACCCAAUGCACGAGCUCGACCUUGCUAGGUA
rnacentral:lncRNA from 1 species